rnacentral:rRNA from 1 species
CCGGGAAACCGGAGCUAAUACCGGAUAGUUCCUUGAACCGCAUGGUUCAAGGAUGAAAGACGGUUUCGGCUGUCACUUACAGAUGGACCCGCGGCGCAUUAGCUAGUUGGUGGGGUAAUGGCUCACCAAGGCGACGAUGCGUAGCCGACCUGAGAGGGUGAUCGGCCACACUGGGACUGAGACACGGCCCAGACUCCUACGGGAGGCAGCAGUAGGGAAUCUUCCGCAAUGGACGAAAGUCUGACGGAGCAACGCCGCGUGAGUGAUGAAGGUUUUCGGAUCGUAAAGCUCUGUUGUUAGGGAAGAACAAGUGCGAGAGUAACUGCUCGCACCUUGACGGUACCUAACCAGAAAGCCACGGCUAACUACGUGCCAGCAGCCGCGGUAAUACGUAGGUGGCAAGCGUUGUCCGGAAUUAUUGGGCGUAAAGGGCUCGCAGGCGGUUUCUUAAGUCUGAUGUGAAAGCCCCCGGCUCAACCGGGGAGGGUCAUUGGAAACUGGGAAACUUGAGUGCAGAAGAGGAGAGUGGAAUUCCACGUGUAGCGGUGAAAUGCGUAGAGAUGUGGAGGAACACCAGUGGCGAAGGCGACUCUCUGGUCUGUAACUGACGCUGAGGAGCGAAAGCGUGGGGAGCGAACAGGAUUAGAUACCCUGGUAGUCCACGCCGUAAACGAUGAGUGCUAAGUGUUAGGGGGUUUCCGCCCCUUAGUGCUGCAGCUAACGCAUUAAGCACUCCGCCUGGGGAGUACGGUCGCAAGACUGAAACUCAAAGGAAUUGACGGGGGCCCGCACAAGCGGUGGAGCAUGUGGUUUAAUUCGAAGCAACGCGAAGAACCUUACCAGGUCUUGACAUCCUCUGACAACCCUAGAGAUUAUGGGCUUUCCCUUCGGGGACAGAGUGACAGGUGGUGCAUGGUUGUCGUCAGCUCGUGUCGUGAGAUGUUGGGUUAAGUCCCGCAACGAGCGCAACCCUUGAUCUUAGUUGCCAGCAUUCAGUUGGGCACUCUAAGGUGACUGCCGGUGACAAACCGGAGGAAGGUGGGGAUGACGUCAAAUCAUCAUGCCCCUUAUGACCUGGGCUACACACGUGCUACAAUGGACAGAACAAAGGGCUGCAAGACCGCAAGGUUUAGCCAAUCCCAUAAAUCUGUUCUCAGUUCGGAUCGCAGUCUGCAACUCGACUGCGUGAAGCUGGAAUCGCUAGUAAUCGCGGAUCAGC